GCUCAACCGAGGAAGUGCUUCGAAAACUGGUAAACUUGAGUGCAGAAGAGGAAAGUGGAACUCCAUGUGUAGCGGUGGAAUGCGUAGAUAUAUGGAAGAACACCAGUGGCGAAGGCGGCUUUCUGGUCUGUAACUGACGCUGAGAUUCGAAAGCAUGGGUAGCAAACAGGAUUAGAUACCCUGGUAGUCCAUGCCGUAAACGAUGAGUGCUAAGUGUUGGAGGGUUUCCGCCCUUCAGUGCUGCAGCUAACGCAUUAAGCACUCCGCCUGGGGAGUACGACCGCAAGGUUGAAACUCAAAGGAAUUGACGGGGGCCCGCACAAGCGGUGGAGCAUGUGGUUUAAUUCGAAGCAACGCGAAGAACCUUACCAGGUCUUGACAUACCAUGAAAAGCUUAGAGAUAAGUCUUUCCCUUCGGGGACAUGGAUACAGGUGGUGCAUGGUUGUCGUCAGCUCGUGUCGUGAGAUGUUGGGUUAAGUCCCGCAACGAGCGCAACCCUUAUUAUCAGUUGCCAGC
rnacentral:rRNA from 1 species